GGGUUGUGAGGUUAAGCGACUAAGCGUACACGGUGGAUGCCCUGGCAGUCAGAGGCGAUGAAGGACGUGCUAAUCUGCGAUAAGCGCCGGUAAGGUGAUAUGAACCGUUAUAACCGGCGAUUUCCGAAUGGGGAAACCCAGUGUGACUCGUCACACUAUCAUUAACUGAAUCCAUAGGUUAAUGAGGCGAACCGGGGGAACUGAAACAUCUAAGUACCCCGAGGAAAAGAAAUCAACCGAGAUUCCCCCAGUAGCGGCGAGCGAACGGGGAGGAGCCCAGAGCCUGAAUCAGCAUGUGUGUUAGUGGAAGCGUCUGGAAAGGCGCGCGAUACAGGGUGACAGCCCCGUACACAAAAGCGCAUGUGCUGUGAGCUCGAUGAGUAGGGCGGGACACGUGGUAUCCUGUCUGAAUAUGGGGGGACCAUCCUCCAAGGCUAAAUACUCCUGACUGACCGAUAGUGAACCAGUACCGUGAGGGAAAGGCGAAAAGAACCCCGGCGAGGGGAGUGAAAAAGAACCUGAAACCGUGUACGUACAAGCAGUGGGAGCCCCACCACUAAGCCAGUGGUGAACUCCACAUACGCAUCCUUUGCUGAGGAUACGGUUAACGGAGCGAAAGCGACGUUCAACCUCAAAAGAAGCAGAGGGGGCUUAGUGGUGGGGUGACUGCGUACCUUUUGUAUAAUGGGUCAGCGACUUAUAUUCUGUAGCAAGGUUAACCGAAUAGGGGAGCCGGAGGGAAACCGAGUCUUAACCGGGCGUUAAGUUGCAGGGUAUAGACCCGAAACCCGGUGAUCUAGCCAUGGGCAGGUUGAAGGUUGGGUAACACUAACUGGAGGACCGAACCGACUAAUGUUGAAAAAUUAGCGGAUGACCUGUGGCUGGGGGUGAAAGGCCAAUCAAACCGGGAGAUAGCUGGUUCUCCCCGAAAGCUAUUUAGGUAGCGCCUCGUGAACUCAUCUCCGGGGGUAGAGCACUGUUUCGGCUAGGGGGCCAUCCCGGCUUACCAACCCGAUGCAAACUGCGAAUACCGGAGAAUGUUAUCACGGGGGACACACGGCGGGUGCUAACGUCCGUCGUGAAGAGGGAAACAACCCAGACCGCCAGCUAAGGUCCCAAAGUCAUGGUUAAGUGGGAAACGAUGUGGGAAGGCCCAGACAGCCAGGAUGUUGGCUUAGAAGCAGCCAUCAUUUAAAGAAAGCGUAAUAGCUCACUGGUCGAGUCGGCCUGCGCGGAAGAUGUAACGGGGCUAAACCAUGCACCGAAGCUGCGGCAGCGACACUAUGUGUUGUUGGGUAGGGGAGCGUUCUGUAAGCCUGUGAAGGUGGCCUGUGAGGGUUGCUGGAGGUAUCAGAAGUGCGAAUGCUGACAUAAGUAACGAUAAAGCGGGUGAAAAGCCCGCUCGCCGGAAGACCAAGGGUUCCUGUCCAACGUUAAUCGGGGCAGGGUGAGUCGACCCCUAAGGCGAGGCCGAAAGGCGUAGUCGAUGGGAAACGGGUUAAUAUUCCCGUACUUGGUGUUACUGCGAAGGGGGGACGGAGAAGGCUAUGUUGGCCGGGCGACGGUUGUCCCGGUUUAAGCGUGUAGGCUGGUUUUCCAGGCAAAUCCGGAAAAUCAAGGCUGAGGCGUGAUGACGAGGCACUACGGUGCUGAAGCAACAAAUGCCCUGCUUCCAGGAAAAGCCUCUAAGCAUCAGGUAACAUCAAAUCGUACCCCAAACCGACACAGGUGGUCAGGUAGAGAAUACCAAGGCGCUUGAGAGAACUCGGGUGAAGGAACUAGGCAAAAUGGUGCCGUAACUUCGGGAGAAGGCACGCUGACAUGUAGGUGAAGUGAUUUACUCAUGGAGCUGAAGUCAGUCGAAGAUACCAGCUGGCUGCAACUGUUUAUUAAAAACACAGCACUGUGCAAACACGAAAGUGGACGUAUACGGUGUGACGCCUGCCCGGUGCCGGAAGGUUAAUUGAUGGGGUCAGCGCAAGCGAAGCUCCUGAUCGAAGCCCCGGUAAACGGCGGCCGUAACUAUAACGGUCCUAAGGUAGCGAAAUUCCUUGUCGGGUAAGUUCCGACCUGCACGAAUGGCGUAAUGAUGGCCAGGCUGUCUCCACCCGAGACUCAGUGAAAUUGAACUCGCUGUGAAGAUGCAGUGUACCCGCGGCAAGACGGAAAGACCCCGUGAACCUUUACUAUAGCUUGACACUGAACAUUGAGCCUUGAUGUGUAGGAUAGGUGGGAGGCUUUGAAGUGUGGACGCCAGUCUGCAUGGAGCCGACCUUGAAAUACCACCCUUUAAUGUUUGAUGUUCUAACGUGGACCCGUGAUCCGGGUUGCGGACAGUGUCUGGUGGGUAGUUUGACUGGGGCGGUCUCCUCCUAAAGAGUAACGGAGGAGCACGAAGGUUGGCUAAUCCUGGUCGGACAUCAGGAGGUUAGUGCAAUGGCAUAAGCCAGCUUGACUGCGAGCGUGACGGCGCGAGCAGGUGCGAAAGCAGGUCAUAGUGAUCCGGUGGUUCUGAAUGGAAGGGCCAUCGCUCAACGGAUAAAAGGUACUCCGGGGAUAACAGGCUGAUACCGCCCAAGAGUUCAUAUCGACGGCGGUGUUUGGCACCUCGAUGUCGGCUCAUCACAUCCUGGGGCUGAAGUAGGUCCCAAGGGUAUGGCUGUUCGCCAUUUAAAGUGGUACGCGAGCUGGGUUUAGAACGUCGUGAGACAGUUCGGUCCCUAUCUGCCGUGGGCGCUGGAGAACUGAGGGGGGCUGCUCCUAGUACGAGAGGACCGGAGUGGACGCAUCACUGGUGUUCGGGUUGUCAUGCCAAUGGCACUGCCCGGUAGCUAAAUGCGGAAGAGAUAAGUGCUGAAAGCAUCUAAGCACGAAACUUGCCCCGAGAUGAGUUCUCCCUGAGACUUUAGGUCUCCUGAAGGAACGUUGAAGACGACGACGUUGAUAGGCCGGGUGUGUAAGCGCAGCGAUGCGUUGAGCUAACCGGUACUAAUGAACCGUGAGGCUUAACCUUACAACGCCGAAG
rnacentral:rRNA from 1 species